GACGAACGCUGGCGGCGUGCUUAACACAUGCAAGUCGAACGGAAAGGCCCUGCUUUUGUGGGGUGCUCGAGUGGCGAACGGGUGAGUAACACGUGAGUAACCUGCCCUUGACUUUGGGAUAACUUCAGGAAACUGGGGCUAAUACCGGAUAGGAGCUCCUGCUGCAUGGUGGGGGUUGGAAAGUUUCGGCGGUUGGGGAUGGACUCGCGGCUUAUCAGCUUGUUGGUGGGGUAGUGGCUUACCAAGGCUUUGACGGGUAGCCGGCCUGAGAGGGUGACCGGCCACAUUGGGACUGAGAUACGGCCCAGACUCCUACGGGAGGCAGCAGUCGGGAAUAUUGCACAAUGGGCGGAAGCCUGUUGCAGCAGCGCCGCGUGCGGGAUGACGGCCUUCGGGUUGUAAACCGCUUUCGCCUGUGACGAAGCGUGAGUGACGGUAAUGGGUAAAGAAGCACCGGCUAACUACGUG
rnacentral:rRNA from 1 species